rnacentral:misc_RNA from 1 species
GAUGAAGAACGCAGCGAAAUGCGAUAAGUAAUGUGAAUUGCAGAAUUCAGUGAAUCAUCGAAUCUUUGAACGCAUCUUGCGCUCCUUGGUAUUCUGAGGAGCAUGCCUGUUUGAGUGUCAUUAAAUUCUCAACUACACUGACUUUGAAUUGGUGUGGCUUGGAUUUGGGGGGAAAAUUGUUGUGAGCUUUUUGUAUAGUCUGCUCCCCUGAAAUUGAUUAGCGGUACCUUUGUGGAACUGUCUACAGGUGUGAUAAUUAUCUACAUCUUAGACAUCUGCUGGAAUGCUGCUUUCUAAACCUUACUUGUAUUGACAAUCUUGACCUCAAAUCAGGUAGGACUACCCGCUGAACUUAAGCAUAUCAAUAAGCGGAGGA